rnacentral:rRNA from 1 species
CAGUAGCCGCGGGAAUACAGAGGGUGCGAGCGUUAAUCGGAUUUACUGGGCGUAAAGCGUGCGUAGGCGGCUUUUUAAGUCGGAUGUGAAAUCCCUGAGCUUAACUUAGGAAUUGCAUUCGAUACUGGGAAGCUAGAGUAUGGGAGAGGAUAGUGGAAUUUCCGGUGUAGCAGUGAAAUGCGUAGAGAUCGGAAGGAACAUCUGUGGCGAAGGCGACUAUCUGGGCCAACACUGACACUGAGGCACGAAAGCGUGGGGAGCAAACAGGAUUAGAUACCCCGGUAGUCCCUGUCUCUUAUAC